GACGAACGCUGGCGGCGUGCCUAAUACAUGCAAGUCGAGCGAGACUCUUCGGAGUCUAGCGGCGGACGGGUGAGUAACACGUGGGCAACCUGCCUGUAAGACUGGGAUAACACCGGGAAACCGGUGCUAAUACCGGAUAAUCCUUUUCCUCUCAUGAGGAAAAGCUGAAAGUCGGUUUCGGCUGACACUUACAGAUGGGCCCGCGGCGCAUUAGCUAGUUGGUGAGGUAACGGCUCACCAAGGCGACGAUGCGUAGCCGACCUGAGAGGGUGAUCGGCCACACUGGGACUGAGACACGGCCCAGACUCCUACGGGAGGCAGCAGUAGGGAAUCUUCCACAAUGGACGAAAGUCUGAUGGAGCAACGCCGCGUGAGCGAUGAAGGCCUUCGGGUCGUAAAGCUCUGUUGUUAGGGAAGAACAAGUACCGGAGUAACUGCCGGUACCUUGACGGUACCUAACCAGAAAGCCACGGCUAACCACGUGCCAGCCGCCGCCGUAAUAC
rnacentral:rRNA from 1 species